UACAGAGGGUGCAAGCGUUGUUCGGAAUUAUUGGGCGUAAAGGGCGCGUAGGCGGUGCGGUAAGUCUGUAGUGAAAUCUCUGGGCUCAACUCAGAGUCUGCUGCAGAAACUGCCGUGCUUGAGUGUGGGAGAGGUGAGUGGAAUUCCCGGUGUAGCGGUGAAAUGCGUAGAUAUCGAGAGGAACACCUGUGGCGAAAGCGGCUCACUGGACCACAACUGACGCUGAGGCGCGAAAGCUAGGGGAGCAAACAGG
rnacentral:rRNA from 1 species